AAAAAAGAAAGAAAGUGAAAAUCAGUUUUUCACCACCUUCGUCCCUCCUUCCUCUCCUUCCAAUUCAACAGUAAAAGAGUUAAUAAGUUCUGCAAUUUUCAACCAUUGUCAGUAAACUUCAACCUUCCCAACCACAUUUCAGAUUCCUAGGGGUAGGCAUUGAAGAAGCUCACCAUAGCUUCACCUCCGAUUCCUAGGGGUAGGCAUUGAAGAAGCUACACCAUAGCUUCACCUCCCUCCAUUAAUGGAGUCUGACCAAGCUUCCAAAAACCAGAAAAUUUCCCCUAUAAAUAGCAUCCCAAACUCAUUCCAUUGCUCAAACAAACAAAUUUAACUUCAAAGACUCCGAUUUCGUAGACAAGGACUACCAAGAGUGCUAACACGUUCGUGAACUUAACUUUGGGCACGCGUCACGAGGUGGGUGAUCGAUCGGGGGAACAAAAGGGAGAUCAUUUAGAGUUGUCAUCCACUUAGCAUAUGAUUAGCUUCCGCUGGAACUCUGAAACAUUUAGUUAAUUAGUAUUGUUUAAUGAAUAAUUUACUUAGUAGUUUUAUUAAUGAAUUUGAGUUGGUGUGUUGUAACUUAGCCUUGCAUUUAUUUCCAAGGAGAUAAUUGCGGCGGUAACACCACCCCGUCGGAUCGAACCCUCGUGGAUCCGUUUUCCCCCGACAACCCGAGUUUUAUCGAAAUGGAAAAGGGUUCGGGUCGGCGGGGGUGUUACAUUUGUUGGCUACGAAAUUUUGACAUGUUGUACUAUAAAUAGUCAGCAGCUUGCUUGUAAAAUAUAAGCUUUGAUUAAUAAAAAUACAGAGAGUUCUCUCUAAUUGAAAACAAGUGUGUUUU